rnacentral:misc_RNA from 1 species
AAGUCGUAACAAGGUUUCCGUGGGUGAACCUGCGGAAGGAUCAUUACAAAGUCGUCUUCUUGAUAUCGCUCGAAAGAGCUGAUUUUCUCGAGGCAACAACAUCCUUUUUUUCCCUUCUGUCUUUCUUCAUGUACCCCACGAGGCAACUCUGGGGGGAAACGAAGUUGGCAAAGGGAAAAAAAUACAUCUCUUGUGCACCGUAAAAAACUAUUCGCGUUUAAUGCUUCUAUGCCUUAUGUAAAAAAAUUUAUUCUGUCCGCAAGUCGUGCAAACGGCCCAAAGAAAGAAGAAAAAAAAUAAAAAACAACUUUUAACAAUGGAUCUCUUGGCUCUC